rnacentral:rRNA from 1 species
CGAAACUGGCAGGCUUGAGUCUUGUAGAGGGGGGUAGAAUUCCAGGUGUAGCGGUGAAAUGCGUAGAGAUCUGGAGGAAUACCGGUGGCGAAGGCGGCCCCCUGGACAAAGACUGACGCUCAGGUGCGAAAGCGUGGGGAGCAAACAGGAUUAGAUACCCUGGUAGUCCACGCCGUAAACGAUGUCUACUUGGAGGUUGUGCCCUUGAGGCGUGGCUUCCGGAGCUAACGCGUUAAGUAGACCGCCUGGGGAGUACGGCCGCAAGGUUAAAACUCAAAUGAAUUGACGGGGGCCCGCACAAGCGGUGGAGCAUGUGGUUUAAUUCGAUGCAACGCGAAGAACCUUACCUGGUCUUGACAUCCACGGAAGUUUUCAGAGAUGAGAAUGUGCCUUCGGGAACCGUGAGACAGGUGCUGCAUGGCUGUCGUCAGCUCGUGUUGUGAAAUGUUGGGUUAAGUCCCGCAACGAGCGCAACCCUUAUCCUUUGUUGCCAGCGGUCCGGCCGGGAACUCAAAGGAGACUGCCAGUGAUAAACUGGAGGAAGGUGGGGAUGACGUCAAGUCAUCAUGGCCCUUACGACCAGGGCUACACACGUGCUACAAUGGCGCAUACAAAGAGAAGCGACCUCGCGAGAGCAAGCGGACCUCAUAAAGUGCGUCGUAGUCCGGAUUGGAGUCUGCAACUCGACUCCAUGAAGUCGGAAUCGCUAGUAAUCGUGGAUCAGAAUGCCACGGUGAAUACGUUCCCGGGCCUUGUACACACCGCCCGUCACACCAUGGGAGUGGGUUGCAAAAGAAGUAGGUAGCUUAACCUUCGGGAGGGCGCUUACCACUUUGUGAUUCAUGACUGGGGUGAAGUCGUAACAAGGUAACCGUAGGGGAACCUGCGGUUGGAUCACCUCCUUACCUUAAAGAAGC